rnacentral:rRNA from 1 species
CCUGGGAAUGGCGUUUUGAACUGGCAGUCUAGAGUGCGUCAGAGGGGGGUGGAAUUCCACGUGUAGCAGUGAAAUGCGUAGAGAUGUGGAGGAACACCGAUGGCGAAGGCAGCCCCCUGGGAUGACACUGACGCUCAUGUACGAAAGCGUGGGUAGCAAACAGGAUUAGAUACCCUGGUAGUCCACGCCCUAAACGAUGUCAACUGGUUGUUGGGGGAGUGAAAUCCCUUUAGUAACGAAGCUAACGCGUGAAGUUGACCGCCUGGGGAGUACGGUCGCAAGAUUAAAACUCAAAGGAAUUGACGCGGACCCGCACAAGCGGUGGAUGAUGUGGAUUAAUUCGAUGCAACGCGAAAAACCUUACCUACCCUUGACAUGUCCGGAAUCCUGCAGAGAUGCGGGAGUGCCCGAAAGGGAAUCGGAACACAGGUGCUGCAUGGCUGUCGUCAGCUCGUGUCGCGAGAUGUUGGGUUAAGUCCCGCAACGAGCGCAACCCUUAUCAUUAGUUGCUACGCAAGGGCACUCUAAUGAGACUGCCGGUGACAAACCGGACGAAGGUGGGGAUGACGUCAAGUCCUCAUGGCCCUUAUGGGUAGGGCUUCACACGUCAUACAAUGGUCGGUACAGAGGGUUGCCAAGCCGCGAGGUGGAGCCAAUCCCAGAAAGCCGAUCGUAGUCCGGAUUGUUCUCUGCAACUCGAGAGCAUGAAGUCGGAAUCGCUAGUAAUCGCGGAUCAGCAUGUCGCGGUGAAUACGUUCCCGGGUCUUGUACACACCGCCCGUCCCCCCCAUGGGAACUGGAGAGAG